UGGAACACCGCGCACGACCGGGAACCGGUC
rnacentral:sRNA from 1 species